rnacentral:rRNA from 1 species
AUGGCCUCCGAGCGUCGCCUCUACGCGCUCAAGGCGUUCGACGACACCAAGGCGGGCGUAAAAGGUCUCGUGGACGCGGGCGUCACCGCGGUUCCUACCAUCUUUCACCACCCGCCGGAAUCCCUCGACGACGCACCAACUCAUCCCCAUGGCCACCAGUUCUCCAUCCCGGUCAUCGACUUAGCCGGCCUCGUGACACCGUCUGGACGGGCUUCGGUUGUGGGCGCGGUGAAGGCGGCCGCGGAGACGGUGGGCUUCUUCCAGGUGGUGAACCAUGGCGUGCCAGAGGCCGCCAUGUCCGGGAUGCUCGCGGCGUUGCGGAGCUUCAACGAGGAGCCGGCGGAGGCAAAGCGGCCGUACUACAGCCGGGACCCUGGCCGGCGCGCCAAGUACGAGAGCAACUUCGACCUCUUCCAGUCGCGGGCGGCCAGCUGGCGCGACACGCUCUUCAUGGAGAUGGCCCCGGAGCCGCCGCCGCCCGAGGAGAUCCCUCCGGCGUGCAGGCGCGUGGCGCCGGAGUACGUGGGGCUAGUACAACGGCUGGGCCGCACUCUCUUCGAGCUGCUAUCGGAGGGGAUGGGACUCCGGCGCGGGUACCUGGAGGAGGAGCAGGAGUGCCUGGAUGGGCUGAGCUUCGCCGGCCACUACUACCCUGCGUGCCCGGAGCCGCACCUGACCCUCGGAGCCGCCAGGCACUCCGACCCCAGCUUCCUCACGGUGCUCCUCCAGGACGCGGUCGGCGGACUCGAGGUGCUCGUUGACGACGACAAGAACCAGCCUGCGUGGGUGGACGUGCCGACAGCGGCGGGGGCGCUGGUGGUGAACAUCGGCGACUACCUGCAGCUCAUGUCCAACGACAGGUUCAAGAGCGUGGAGCACCGCGUGGUGGCCAAGAGCGUGGGGCCGAGAGUCUCGGUAGCCUGCUUCUUCCGGGCGGACGCGUCGACAAGGGUGCUUGAGCCGAUCGUCACGGACGCCGGCGGCGCGCGGUACAGGAGCACGACGGUGGCGGAGUUGGUCCGGCACUACAGGGCCAAGGGCCUGGACGGCGUCCCUGCACUCCAACACGUCAGGAUCUGA